rnacentral:lncRNA from 1 species
UUGUACUAACUACCUUAAACCGGAUUUAUAUUAAGGUAUCAUGUGAUUAAUUGUACCAUACUAUCGACUAAGUAACACGACAAAUGUAGGUCGUAAAAAGGUAUGACGUUUGGCACCCGCAGACCUGCAGGUCCGGCUGUAGCUAGCAGCAAGGUGUAGGAUAGUCAAUCCAGUAUAGAUCUAUACGCAAACUCACGCUCUCCCUCCAAGAGACUCUGGCUACAACUCGGGCCAUGACAUUGAAGGCAUGCUCCGAUACAGUGGAUCACAAUUUUGUUAACGUAUUCAUGUAUAUGUAAUGUAUUGAUACUCGUUCUAGUAUAGUUGUAUAUGUUCUUCUUCUAGUAUAAUUGUAUAUGUUCUCUUUCUAGAUCUAUCUAUGUAAAUGUAAUCAUGUAAACAUAUCUAUGUAAUAGUAUAGUAAUGUACUGUAAUGUUCUACGUGUGCUAGCUGUAAUGUGUGUUCUUUCUCUACCUAGCAUGUAUAGUAAUAUACUGUGUGUACUACUUGUAAUGUAUGUUCUCUUUAUCUAGCAAGUAUUGACUGAUGAAUGAACUGACUCAUUGUAUGAUAUCGCGUUCUAGUAAUAGUUCUAGUAUCUUCCUAAACUACCCAUAUGGUAGCUUACUAGUAAUUUAACUGGUACGUAUGAACAUGGAUGUAUACCCUUGCUACCCAAGGGCAUUGGAUGAACUGGAAGGACCUUUAUGACUAUAUAUGUACAUAUGAUAUAUAACUAAUAUUUAAACAACCUUCGGACGGAUACCCGAUGUCCCACCAGACCACAUCUCAAGCGCGAAAAGGAAAUAGGGUGGAUAGCCUUCCUAAGUCUUUUAAACAUUUCUUAUAUAACUAUACAUAUAUAGGCAUGCAAUUGAUAAUAUAAAAGCAUAAAAUAAGUUUUGUAAAACAUUUGAACAUAAUUAUUAUCUAAGAAAAGAUCGACUUGAUGUCAAUCUAUAAAACGGUUUGAAGGCAUGGGUUUGAUAAAAGAGUUUAAGUAUAAAGAAACAUUUGUUUGAAUCACAAUUAUAAAUGAGCUUGAAAUUAAACAUACGGAGUUAAAUGUACAGUUAAAUAAGUACCUUUAAACAUAUAAAGUGUUUAUGAAAAACAUUUGAAGGAAACUGUUUGGUAAAACGCCUAAUGAGUAGCCAAUCAUUUGAAUGCUGCUUAUUAAUCACAUGUGAUUGAUAUAAUAAGUAGCAUGAUUCUACUUGUAUCCCCCCAUAAAACAUUUAAAANUUUAAGACAUUGAUUAAGGGGUAUGAACUCACCUGUAGCAAGUGGAUCGGAUGGAAGUGUCGGAUAAGUGCUUGGUGUCAAGUGAAGACUUAGACACGCACAAAGAUCCUAAUUACAUAUGAGGACAUAUGUAUAUAAACAAUUACUCUUUAAACAACUAAUAAACAAGUGAAGACACUCUAGGAUAUGAAAAAAACUUUGUAUAAGUGUUAUAAGUGCUAAGGGGUGCAUCUAAGUGUUGUAGGGAAAGGCAAGUGUGUUUGGCGUUCAAGGAACACUCCUAAAAUGAGUUUACUCCCUAAAGACCAACACCCCAUGAGUUUACGGUCGUAAACUCUUGAGUUUAUGGUCGUAAACUCCUAACCUUUUGACCAUUUGUUGUUUUGAAGUCUUCUAAGCUAUUCCAAGCAUUCCUACUUCAUGAUUUAGCCUUAGGAAGUGUUGUGUGGCAUCAAAACACUCCUAAAUGGAGUUUACGGUCUAAGGACCAUUUCUCCAUGAGUUUACUACCUUAAACUCAUGAGUUUACUACCUUAAACUCAUGAGUUUACUACCUUAAACUCGUGAGUUUACUACCUUAAACUCAUAAGUUUGGUAUUUGGCGGUUUUCAAGUCCUUAGCUCAAACAUGGCAAUAGUCCAGGUUAGAUUUAGACAUAAGCAACAACCGUGGGACAUUUAUGGGACUUUUCACAUCAUUUGGGGUGUUUACGGUUUUGGGAGAUCCCUAAACCGUAAACACAUAAAAAUGUAUGAUUUUGGUGCUUUUUGUGUGAUAAACUCAUCAAGGAUGAAUCUAGAAAGUCCCUAAGGCAUUGUGAAGCAUCUAGGCACCUUAACACACCAUUUUGGCCCUAUUUUUGGUGUUUACGGUUUUGAGACCUCCCAAAACCGUGAACACCUUUAUCUUGGUGUUCUUGGGACUUUUCUUUGGUAUAAACAUGCAUAGCUAGCUUUAAAUGACUCUAGGAUAGAAGUACUUACAUAAGGAAGCUUGAAUUGAGCUAAAAGUCCAAGAACACUUAGUGUGUGUUCUUGGUGUUCUUGGUGUUUUUGGAAAACUAAUCAAAACACAAAAAUGGAUGGAUUAAUGGAUGUACAAUCACUAGAUUAAGUGAUAUACUAACUUGAAAGGGCUAGAAACACUUACUAGACUGAAGAUUUUGAAUAAAAACUUGGAUGAUACUUGAGAGGAUAUUUUGGAGUUUACUCUUUUGGUGUUUGGGGAGUAAACACAAGAAUGACUAGUCUUGGGCAGUAAACUCAUGUUUAUGCAUGAGUUUACGAUUUUUGGAUGAUUAUUCGACCCAAAGUUAAAAGUUUGGCCGCGAACUUCUAAGACACGAGGUGUUUGCGGUUUUUAAAUUUCAAAACCCGAGACGGCACUUUCUUUCACCCGUUCAUUUAAAGAUUAAUUAUUAAAAUAAUCAAAUGAACUUAUUUUUCCCAAAAAUAAGUAAAAGUGAACUGGACUUAUAAUAUGAAGUGAUCGACUGCUAGGGUUUGACUGAAUGAAAAUUUCGAGUUGUCACAUCAUCCCCCUGUUAAAGGGAAUUUCGUCCCGAAAUUAGAAUUUAGGUAAGGAAGUAGGCAUGAAUGAUUGAUUCAUGAGGUGGAAACUUUCUAAUCGAUUGGUUCUCGCGCUCCGAAGUGAAAUCGGGUCGUCGGUUGGUAUUCCAACGAACCUUGACUAAAUGGCGACGGCGUUGCUUCGUCCGCUUGACCUCUCGGUUGAGGGUCAGUAUGGUUCUAAUGCAAAGGCGAGGAUCUCGACGAGUGGAUUUACAAGAGUCCUAACGGAAAGGUAUGGUUUCAAAAUCGAGACGCGAAGAGUAUAAUGUAUGCUACUGAGUUCGCGGAGUAGGUCUAGUUUGCGAGGUACAAGACCGAUUCUGGUAAGAAUCUCGGAGGUCCUGACUAUCUUGGAUUUAGCUUUCCACGUGAAGCGAAGCGUAUUAAGCCAUUCCCAGAGUGGGUUUUCCUAAUGGACUUGGUCUCUCACUUGGAAUCUCCAAAGUUUCUUUUUCUUGUUUAACUUCCCAGUCGGGGGCCACCCCCUGUUGGGUCAAAGUCGUAAAGGUUUCUGUGAUUUGCGAGGAGUUCUGGAUGAUCUAUGAAAGUAGGUCUGUAAGAACUAGAAUUUGGCGAAUUUCUAUCGGCGGCUCUGGUGUCGACCAAUUCUCAAAGGUUUUGAUAAAUUGACAGAGUACUCAAGAAUUUCCACAUCACUAAUAGUGUGUCAUAGUAAAUUUUGAAUCUUCAAUUCCAAAACUCAUGUUUAGAGAACUUUGCGAAAAGUAUUUCCAAGGGCAAUGUUUCCAUGGGUUCUUUCUUACUACGAGGGUAGAUAAGUAAGUCAUUACAUGGAGAAAUGAUGAACUGAUCCAAGUAAGAAAGACGUACCCUACUCAUUUAGCUCACGAAUACUAUGGGCGUAUUGGUCCUAUCCGAGGGGUAUCACUACGGACUCGAAGUGUCUGCAUUGCGUUCGGAAGGUAGUCUUUCGGACAUCCUUCCUUCACACUCAAACUGGUGAUAUUCGGAUCUCAUGUCCAUUUCUGAAAGUAAUUCUUUCCUUGUGUUUGCUCAACUAAUUCAUCUAGGCAAGGCAGAGACAACGAUUUCUAAUGGAAAAUCUUGACAGAGUCCUCGAUAUCUGAGGUACAUAUGAUGCAAUCCGUCGACCUCUAGAAGAAUAAGACCGGAGUUCUCCAGGGUGAGAUGCCUAGUCUUCUAAUUUUAUUUUCUGUGUAGUUUGCUAAGUUUUCUGGGCUGUUCUUGUAUCUCUGUAGGUGUUUAGACUAUUGGGCGAUCUGUUUACAGGAGUCAUACUGGGUUCUAAGUUUGUUCACAUGACGAUGCGAUUACUCGUAGUCUUAGGCAGUUUCCAUCCUGAAGUUCAUAUUAGAAUUCAUACAUGGUUUCACAAUAACAAUCUCAUGUAUAUGACUCAUAUAUAAUUAAGAUUGAAAAGGUAGUCGAAUAAUUGAUUCCUCUUUAAGCACACAUCCUAUCAAGGAAAAAGAAGUUAAAGUGGAAUCAUCAAUUCUAAACCUGUAGAACCUUGACUAUAUAUCACUCUUAUGUAUACAUUCUCAAUGAUAGAUCAACCGUAUGAAUCCUUGAAUUGAACUUGACGUACUGCACGAGUGGUACUUCGGGGAUUUCUUCAGAAAAGAAAAGAACUAUGAGGUACUCCUCUCAUGAGUACUUCGGUGUUUUGAUAUGACAGCUUCGUUGGAAAGGCGAUUUCGAAGAAAGAGAUGUACGUCUGAAGCUGAUUUUGUGAGGAUCAAAUUGAAUCGAGUCGUAUGAUAAUGUCGGAAUCAUACAUAAACUUAAAGACAUUAGAUUUGAACAUAAGACGUUACAGACAAAACACAACUGUGCGACCAUCAACAGAGUUACAGCACUUUAGGCUUACUACAAGACUAUUGUUGCGAAUAAGAUAUACCACAAAAGACAAGUAUACGCAGCACAGGGGUCCCUUAACUGACGGGCUCCCUCAAAAGGUAACACUCGGGUCACACUAAAUUAUAAUGGUUUAUAAGUUUGUUACAAUGAAAUGCCUUAAUUAUUAAUGAGGGUCCAACGUAGUUUCUCUUGCAGCUGUGAUCCUAAGAAUCUUCCCAUCAGCACCCGAGUUCUUCGCUAUCGGGCAAUCCUUCUUGAGGUGUCCAAUUUCACCGCAUUGGUGACAUAUCUGGAUAGCACCAACAUUGGUGGUGGAAGUGAGGUGUUUAGCCAGUGUUAUGUGGACACGAGUUCCUUCCUCAUUACUCCACCUUGGAAAUUGCUUCCUAAAUGUUCGGCUUUAUCACUACUUUUGUGUGUAGGGUUGGUCCCGGUGACCGGGACUUAAGUGAUGGGUCGUGCUGGUGCUCCACAGUUACGAGCAUGGUGCCUUAUUUCUAGGCAAUUGCAACAUUGCAUCUCAUGGCAAGCCCCAUGAUGAUGGAAACUACACUUAUCACACUUCGGGAGCUUUCCUUUGUAUGGCCUGCUCGAUACGGGGAUGGCAGGGGUUUCCACUUGUUGUUGUUGCAUGGCCAGUUUUUGGGAUUUCUUGCAUUCUUUCUGGGCUUGGAGCUUUCGUUUCUUGUUCUCUGCUUUUCGGCUUUACGAGCCUAUGACUAUUACCGUUUGACGACUUCUUGGAUAGAUACAAAGAUUGGAAACUUCAACCCCCUCCUCAGCAUUGAUUCUGCUGAUAGCGCUACGGUGCGCAAGGACAGCGGUUACGGUAGCCAUCACGGCAGCUGUAACUUCGGUUUAGAAGGUAGCAGCGUCCAUAGGAAAGGCAGGGGUUUCGUUGCUCGGUUGAUUGCUUCCGGAUGACGACAUGAUUCUGUAACACGAAAGAUAAGAAUUUUGUGAGUGAUUCUGGUUUAUCCUAGGUGUACUUCGAUUACUCAAUCAAAGAGUAAGAGUAUGUUCUAGGAAGGGUUGACCUACAUCCUUAUGAUGCAGUCCUAAUACGGAUUGGAAGUAUGUUCGCGAAGGUUUGACCUACAUCCCCAUGAUGCAGUCCUAGUACUGAGUGAAAGUGAGUUUGUGAAGGGUUGACGUACAUACCUAUGAUGCAGUCCUAGCAAUGAGUGGAAGUAAGUUCGUAGAAUGGUCUUAAGACGUUUGUCAUUCAAGCCGAGGUAUCGAUGGUUGGUGAAUAACAAGAUCCAACCACUGAAAGAGACUUGGAAAUGUCUUCGGAGUUAAAUUACUAUAGUCCAAUGACUUGACUAAAGCAUGUUUCAGAUAGGCUCCAAUGAAAGUAUGAUAAGAGUACUUGGAUAAAGAAUGACACAGAAGUUAGCUGACUGUCAAUAUCUUUGAUAUUCAUGAUGUAAAAGUUCGGGAAAAUGACCUUGUAAAAGGUCUUACAUCAUAUCCAGAGAAGAUAGUCCUUGACAGCAUAAAGACCUAACCAAUAGUACUUACAGUACAAGAUAGUUUCAUAGAAAAUGCCACAUCGGGCAUAGACAGAAAAACAAUUUCUUCAUAACAAGGAAAAUAAAGUAAGGCAUUUACUACUGGCGACGGUCAUCCCUCUGGUGAACUCUCAUUUCAGCCAGUUGACGUUCCACAUCUAGUAGGUGUCUUUCGUACACCUUCUGGCAUACGCGGAGUUCCAUCACUUCUGCUCGUGAUUCAGCCAGAGCUUGAAGCAGGGCUUCAUGGUUUCUCUUAGAUCUCUCACGAUCAUCUUCUAGACGAAUGGCGCGGAGGGUAUGCAUUCUCACAUCGGCGAAAACAUCGGUGAUCUGAUGUAGGGCUGUCCUGCCUUGAAUCUCAUUUCGGGCCACUCUGCAGACCAAGAUUGGCAAGAUUCUAUCUGUUGAGCCCCCAUUGCUUAGGUCAUAAAAGCUUCGGUCACCAUCAAAUGCCAUGGGUUGAUCUUGUCCUUGGCUCCAUGUUUCCAAGUAUUCCACCCAUGGAGGCGUCGGGCCUUGAAAAGCCAGACGAAGGUUAGGAAUUGGAACGGGAGCUGCCUGGGGUAGGUUCUCAACCUCGGGUUCAGAUUUAGCACCGUCCGAAAGGUUUUCAUCAUGGUGAUCAUUCAAAGGGAAAGGAUGAUCAUUAAUUGGUUCUUCUUCAAACCAUCAGGCAAUGACCUCAUUCGGAAGGUACUGGUUGCCGUGGGGAUGGAGUCCGUCCAUGUUAUUUACGCGAGAAUUGGGGUAAGAAAAUAAUUAUUAGACGAACUAUCUAGAUAAUUAUUCAGAAAGUCUUCAUUAGUUACAUCGCUAUUUGUGAAGUGCAUACCGGUUAUAUGUAACCGAAACAGGAUAGGCCUUCGAAUAAGUGACCUUACCUCCAAAUUCACACAGAAUAGGGGUAAGGUAAAAUUUUCAUAGAUUCUAAGUCUAUAACAUCCUAAUUACAUAUAGCCUUAGUGUAUCCACUUAGCAACUAUCAACUUGGUAAUGAAGAUCCCGCUUUAGUUCUCAAGUAUAAAGUACUUAUAGUAACACCAAAUACCCCUAUAGUAUUUUAAGUUUAAUGUUAUGUUCUACUGCUCUCAUUGUGGUAUUGUUGGUAAGAUUUUAGACUUGUUGCAACCACACAACUACACUUAGGCACAUGCUAGUCAACCCUUGGAUAAUAUAGGUGAUCAAGCUAUAUCUUCCCAGUUUUGACCAUAUGUCUCUAAGCCCACUUGUGUUGCCCAACAAUCGUAAUUCUUUUGUACUGUCCUAGUGACACUGAUUUUAGUAUGAAUGCAGCACGUAUACUUACUUAAAUAUUUUACUAUUUAAAGUAUAAACUCUUGGUCAGAGUAUUUUUAAUCCCUAUGUAUUUAUAGUUAGUAUAUCUUUUAUGGGUUGAUAUACUUAAUUCACUAUAAACAAUGCUCUGAUACCAAUCUGUCACACCCCAAAACCAUGAACGGCGGAAACGUUCUGGGGCGGAGGACGUCAUGUACAGUAUCACAACAAUGAAAAGUAGUAAAGAAGAAAGAACAUCAAACAUUGCAUUAACAAUAUAAUUUUAAUACAAGUGUUCUGUCAAGUUAUAAUAGACACUAAAGUCUAAACAAAAUGAAAGAUGAGUCUUGAACGAGCUCCAUCUUCUCUAAACCUUGCAUCGGUACCUGUCUACUAUUGACCUGAGGAUACAAGUUAUUAUGAAAGAGAGUAUCAGCUUUAAAGCUGGUGAGAUCAUAAGUAUUAAUGUGUCUUAAUUUGUAUGUAAGUAUUUGUUUGACAUGUAAUGAAUAACUAGAAAAUGUUUUGAAAGAAAGUUCGUGUAAGUAUGAAAAUGUUUGUAAAACAACUGUAAACGUUUGAAAAACCCUAGAAAUCCCUAUAAUUUCUACUAUAUUAAAAGGGAGUCUUCUACCAAGACCCAACUAUUCUAAAUGUAGUCUUCUACCAAGACUUAACUAUUUUGUAUGUUCGUUUCUUGUAAAAGUGUGUAAUUUUCCCCAAGUGUAACUAUCAUUAACAAAAUAUAGUUUGUACAUUAAUGUUUAAGUGAAAUAAUCACUAACUAUAUGCAAAGGGUAAAUUAAUGUAGGACUGUAGUGUUGUAUUAUAGGAACUACUGCUGUACUAACUACCUUAAACCGGAUUUAUAUUAAGGUAUCAUGUGAUUAAUUGUACCAUACUAUCGACUAAGUAACACGACAAAUUUAGGUCGUAAAAAGGUAUGACAUUUGGCACCCGGAGACCUGCACGUCCGGCUAUAGCUAGCAGCAAGGUGUAGGAUAGUCAAUCCAGUAUAGAUCUAUACGCAAACUCACGCUCUCCCUCCAAGAG